UCCAUCUUCCAAGUUUCCAGAAGCGGCUGAGAUUUUUAAAAACAGCUGUAAUCUGCGGUCAUUGAUGGUGGAGUAGAUUGUUUGCCAAACUAUUACCAUAACUGUCAACCGAAAUCAGAAAAAUAAUCUCAUUGUGCUGGACAGAUGCGUUUCCUGCAUUAUUGAUAUAGUCACUCUGGAGUAAUAGAGAAAUAUAAAGCAUUGUUCUAUUUACAAAAGGAGAUUGGCCAAGUCCUUGAAAGAUCCCCUGAAAUGCUGGGCACACUGACUAGCCUCUUGUAUAGAGUCUCAAGCCUGUGGCCAGAAGCAGCUGUGUGAAGUAGCCGCUGUGAUGGAUUGGGACCACAGAUACCACUUUGGAAGGAAAGGUUCCAGAAACCAAAGCUUGGGCCAUGGGUCUCUGGGAAACUGCAGCAGGAGUUUAGAGUCUAAUGGAUGGAACACAGAAGCAGGAAAAAAAUUGCUGUAGAAUAUGAUAAAGAUUAAUAGAGCUUUAAAGGAAUGUGGAACUGAAGCAAAGAGGUGUCCCCACUUCCAUUCUCCAAAAUGAAAUUGAUCAUCUUAGGAAACUGUAUCAAACACUAAAGAAAUUGUCAACCUUCAACAAUCUGUGUUGGAGCUUUGGGAAAGGCCUGUUUCCUGGCACUAAAAGUAGCCAGUCUUGGCGUGAACAGCCCUUGACAAUUCCCAGCAUAUGGUAAGAGAAGACGCUUCUGCCCACCCAUCAGGCAUGGAAAGGAGCAAUAAUACACGCAACACUGAACAGGACCAUGCCCUCUUCUAAAUGACAUUAUGGACUUCCCGACACUUGAAAAUGUAUGGGCUUGGCCAGAGGAAAUACUCAGAAUGAAGGAUUGCAUCUUCCGACCAGAAGCAGGUGCUGAGGAUGGAUAUGACAUCAAAACAGAAGGGUUGAUAGGGAGGAUCAUUAACCAUCAGAGAAAUUGCUAACUGCCCUGGAACACAGCACAUUCUUGGGUGAAAAGUCACUUGAAUGCCUGUUGGAGCCAUCACUAUGGAUUGCCGGCUAUUCUGACUUGGAGUUUGAGGCUGACAUCUGAAACCACAGGUGAGGACUCUGACACAUCCAGAUUUUGUAAGUUGCAUAGAAUGAAUUUCACAGGACGCAUCCAAUUCAUGGACUCUUACAAGUUUGUAUCAACACCUACAGCUCUGACCUCUGGGAAUGAAGAAGAUACUUAACAAUAGUUUUGAUGGACUAGAAAAUCAACAGAGAUAAUAUCCAUAUUCGUAUUGGUAGCCCCAUUGUAUUUAGAUAGUGUGAGCCAGCAGUGUUCACUUCCACCCAAUUCAGGGACUUCCUCUAGCAAGGUAUUGCAGUUUGGAAGUGGGAACAGAAGAGACUGUGCAAUCUUCACAGGAGAACAUUGUCAUGACAAAGAGGACAAACAAGUUCAAGGCAAAAAACUAAACCAUAACCUUGGGAUUCAAGGAAAAAGUCAUCAAGCACAGAGGGGGAAUAAAUGAAAGAAUAUAUCUCAGAGUUUUGGGAAGCCAUAAGGAUACUUAACAUGCCCUUUCAUCUGGCUUCUGGCUGGUGAGAAAUGUUCUUCCUGGAUGCCUUUAGACAUGGAAGAAUAGAAAUAACCACUUAAAGCUCCCGCCAUUUCUGUUCUUUGGCAACCCUGAAAAAGCUGAAAGAGGCUGAUCAUCGCUAAUGUAUUGAACAUCUUUUGAAGCCCCAAUGACUGCCACCAACAAAGAACAGACACAUGUGCUAUCUGGGUGAGCACUUCCUCCUGACUCCUUAACAAAACCCUCCCUGAAAGGUUGAUAAGCAAACAGGCUUCACAACAGAAGGGCAGCUCAUUCCCCAGAGGGACUGACGGAAGCCAUAUUCCCAACACAGGAAAAGAAAGCAGGACAUGGGUGAUUCUGAGAAAGGUGCAGCCUUCCAGGGCAGACAGGAAGCACUGACAUAUGGCAACUGAAUCAAAGGGGAUCAUGAAGUCUCUGUUCAAUCGUUUGAGUCACGAAGUCUCCAAUCCUUCAGCAACAUGGUACUUUGAGCAUGACUUCAGCAAAACCAAGGUUAUAGGUGAUGGUUAUGAUGAUGAAUAAAAGAGCAGUGCAGAGUGAAAAUGAAGAAUAAAUUUGACUUUGAUUUUAGUUCAGGGGUGUAGAUGGAUAUUUUGCCCAGGAUUUGCAACUUGGAUUUUGGGAGAUUGCUUUCCAUGAGGAUUUUGAAUCCUUAUAGAUAAUAUAUUAAUUUAGAGUAGAAUAGAGAUGAAUUCAAAUGAAGAGUGAGAGAAGUUGUAUUUCGAGGAAUAAGAAAGCAGGUAUAAAAACAUUCAGUGAACUUUUAAAUCAUGCUAUAGACAAUCAUCAUAAUGAUGCUACUUAGGAAAGUCAGAGUCACGAAGCUCUGGAUAUAGUUUUUCUGUACUCUGUUGCAAAGGGAAUUCUUUGGUAGAGAAAAUAGAUGGAAGCCUGUCAGUCGCAGAGAAGAAAGUGGAAUGCAGGAGAGUGGGUUCCUAGAGGGAUGUUGCUUUCAAUCUACUUCCCUGCUGCAGUUUCUAGCCAGCACAUGGUAACCACCUCUCUCUUCUGCCACCUUCUGAAGUUACUCAGAUAAAUCUCUGUUCCUUUGACCCAAAAGAAGUGCCCCCCACCAGCCACCUCUGUCCCAUUACAUGGCCCAUUAUGCUUACCUUAUCUCAAAGAUACACUCGAGUUAUUGGAAAUUUCCCAUAAAGAUUCCCACACUCCUGAAAGCGGAAAGAACACAGCAGGAAAAGACGAACUAGGAUGUGUGUUAGUGUAUGUAAUUAUAUUGAGGUUAGAAAUGGAAAACACACCUGAUGCUCUGCGUUAUUAUUUUAAAAACAGCAAUAAGAACAAACUGGAAGCUCAGAAUGAUGCCCUGGAGAGAAUUAUUCUUUUUCUGACAUUUAUUUAGAUUCCCCUUUGAGAAAUAGCUUUAUUUUCAGUGAUUUCUUGGGUGAGUAAAAUAACAUUUCACUCAAGAGUUAAAAGGGGUCAGUUUGGGUCUUGUCAGGGGUGCUUUGGAACUUUCUUGCUGACCUGGAAUUAGUGCACGUGCAUCUGAGUGCUACUCCAGCCACCCAGCACACCAUAAAAUAUGUUUUCCGCUACAGUGAUAUUGCUGGCAGUGCAUAAAACAAAUGGACUGGGUCAGAAAUAGUCAGACUCCACCUUUAAAUGGAUUCUUCUGGAUGUAUGUUACUUUGGAGAGCACUUUUGAAACAUUCUUCUAUUAAGGUUUUCAUUAUGAUUUUAACUCCUGUCUACAGAAGCUAUUCAUUAAUUCAAUUAGUCCUUAUUGCCAACGUAGAGGGUGAGUUCUAUAUUGUAAGCCCCAAUGCACAGAUGCAGAAACCGAGGUUCAGAAGCUUUGACAUCUUGCCCCAGGUCUCUUAGAUGUUAGUAGCUAAUCUGGGAUGCAAACCAGAUGCCUGAAUCAAGUCUUUGUUCUCUUCAUUCUGCUGCACUGGUUCGUCUGACUUGAAAUUGCAUCAGUUAGGGUUUGGGUUCAGCUGCAUACAAAAAAAUCCGAGUGGCUGCCAGUUAGACUAAACAGAGAUUUAUUUUUCUUCCAUAUAACAAUAAAUUCAGACAUAAACAGUCUGAAGCUGGUGGAAAGAAAAUGCUUUCUGGUUUCCCAGUGUGAUUAGGCACAUGAAGGCAGUUGCAAUUCCAGCCCUCAUGACUGUAAUCCAGACUGCAGAAAGGAGUUAGAAACAAGAAAAUCACGUGGCACUUACAUCAGGAAAGCACAGUAUUUUUCAGAAAUACACAGAAAUAACCAGAAAUGUGUCUCACAUGAUCAUUGCUGGUCAUCUAAUCUCCCUAGAAAAGUAAUUUUUAUCUUAUAACAUUGCUGCCCCAACAAAAUAGAGAUUCCCUCAGUAAAAAGGAAUGAAGGAAUGGAUUUUCUGUUAGUACCCAGAGAAGUAUCUGUCUCCAAAAAUAUCUAUCUUUCCACUUCAAAAAUAAUCAAAUGUUUUCUUAGGGCAUUUUUGUCCCAAAGCCUAUUCCCACCCCUUGUUUUAUGUUCCUCAAUUUAGAGCAUGAACACUUGCUGGCUGACCCAUGGUCCCUUUGGCUGAAUGUCAGCCAGCUGUAAAAGGACUAUGUAUAUGAAGACCACACCAGCUAGAAGCUUAACUCAAGGUUUCAUUGUUUUAAAGGACUUAAUAUUCUUCUAGUUUAUGCAGAAUCUCACUGGGUAAAGUUGCAGAAAAAAAUUCUAGAAUAGAAGAGAACAGUUUGGAAUAUGUAAUUCAACUAUUUCUAAGUAAUAGAGAAAGGCAACAAAAAUGUCAAUAUUACAGGCAUCAAAUACUUUAGCUAAUCAGGUAAUGUUAUUGAGUUGGAAGCUGACCCUAUCACCAUAGGUAUCUGUUUUCCUAAGUUACUCAUCUUAACCGCUGAUUCACACUGUUCACCCUCCCACUCGGCAGUGGAAGUUAAAUGGCUUGUGAUUCACAAUCUCAGCCUUAGAGAAGAGAUUUGUAAUAACAGAUGUUUAUAAUGUGCCUCUAGUUUCCCUUGGCCUUCUCUUCCUCCUCACUAAAUCCCUCAUUCUAGACCAUGGAAUUUUACAAGGGACUUGAUGUCCUUGGGUCUUGCUGAGACAGAAGAUAUUCACAAAGGCUUGGACGAAAAGCUCCUCAGCCAUCAAAUUGGCUAAUUCAUUCCAGAUUAUGCUGAAUGUAAGCUCUCCAGACGAAGAAACCAUCAUCUAACACAGGGGUGAGGUGGGGCACGGUGACGGGAGGAUCAGAUGAAGAGGAGUCAGCAGUAAUAACGGAAAAGGAAGGCCCAGGGUGAUUGGAGAAAAGCCAGGACAGUGUGAGGACUCUAAGCCCAGCAUUAGAACUUCAAGAAGAAUGGAGAGGUCAACAAUGUCAAAUUCUCCAACAUCUGAGGAAGAGAGCAAGAUGAAAGCAUUGGGUUUAGAAAUGUGAAUGUAAUUGAUGAGCUUGCUAAGGUAGUUUCAGAGGGACGAUAGUGAAAAAACAAAAAGAUAAAGCCUGUGCUCGGUAAAAAUUUAGAGAAAAGGAAAAUUUAAAGUAGGGACUUCGGUGGCUGACUGGUCAUUUUUUGAAAGGCCUCUCGGUGAGGGGAAGGAGAAAGAGAUAAUUGGAGCCAGAGGGACGUGCAAGGUUGGUGGCAUUUGUUAUUAAGACCACAUCAGCUAGAGGCUUAAACCCAAGGUUUCAUUGUUGGGUUUCAUAGUAUGGUAAAAUCUUGGGUGUGGUUUUAGUCUAUGGGAAAGUAGUCAAUUAAGACUAGGAAUAGAAAUGUGUUUACAAGCAAAUGGAACAGGAGCUGAAGGAGAUGACACCCUGAAUUAAAAUUUAAUUAAUAUCACAGAGAAUGCUUUUCUAUCAUGGUUUCAUUAAACACAGAGCCUUCACUUCUAAAUAUUCAAAUACACAUAUAUACAUACACAUACACACACACCUUUAUACAAACUUUAAGUGUGUGGAGUGUUAGAAACCUCACUGUGUAAAAACUGAAACUAUAACAUGGGAAAUGAAGAAAGGUGAUUAUUUAGAUGAGAACACAUAUAAUAAUAAAAGUAACACAUUUUACGGUUUCUUUAAAUGUUUAUUCAUCCCUCUACACAAUUAAAUAGCAUGUGUUUUAGACAUUUUUAUUAUUUUCCAUUUUCCAGCUGUACAUACCAUGAGAGAUAUAGGUUCUAUAACUAUUUGGAGCUAUACAAAUAGAAAGAGGAAUAAGAAAAUGUUAUGUCCUCUCUCCUCUUUAAAAAAAAAAUUCUGUUUUGAAAAUUUUUCUUUUUUUGAAAAAAAUUUUUUGAAAAAUGUAAGGUUGAUUUAAUGAGUACAUAUGCAUUUGGAAGUGAUAUGUCUAUUCUCAAUGGUCGUUUUUAAAAUUUUCCUUUUCUUCAAUGUCCUGAUGUUUUACUCCAUGUCCAGUCCGGCACUGUUUCUAAUUGUUGUA
rnacentral:lncRNA from 1 species